GCCGCGAGGCGGAGCAAAUCUCCAAAAGCCGUCCCAGUUCGGAUUGCAGGCUGCAACCCGCCUGCAUGAAGUUGGAAUCGCUAGUAAUCGCGGAUCAGCAUGCCGCGGUGAAUACGUUCCCGGGCCUUGUACACACCGCCCGUCACACCAUGAGAGUCGGGAACACCCGAAGUCCGUAGCCUAACCGCAAGGGGGGCGCGGCCGAAGGUGGGUUCGAUAAUUGGGGUGAAGUCGUAACAAGGUAAC
rnacentral:rRNA from 1 species